rnacentral:rRNA from 1 species
AAAGCGGGGGACCGAAAGGCCUCGCGCUCAAGGGGCGGCCGAUGGCAGAUUAGCUAGUUGGUGGGGUAAAGGCCUACCAAGGCGACGAUCUGUAGCUGGUCUGAGAGGACGACCAGCCACACUGGGACUGAGACACGGCCCAGACUCCUACGGGAGGCAGCAGUGGGGAAUUUUGGACAAUGGGGGCAACCCUGAUCCAGCAAUGCCGCGUGUGUGAAGAAGGCCUUCGGGUUGUAAAGCACUUUUGUCCGGAAAGAAAACCGCUUCUCUAAUACAGAGGUGGGAUGACGGUACCGGAAGAAUAAGCACCGGCUAACUACGUGCCAGCAGCCGCGGUAAUACGUAGGGUGCGAGCGUUAAUCGGAAUUACUGGGCGUAAAGCGUGCGCAGGCGGUUCGCUAAGACCGAUGUGAAAUCCCCGGGCUUAACCUGGGAACUGCAUUGGUGACUGGCGGGCUAGAGUAUGGCAGAGGGGGGUAGAAUUCCACGUGUAGCAGUGAAAUGCGUAGAGAUGUGGAGGAAUACCGAUGGCGAAGGCAGCCCCCUGGGCCAAUACUGACGCUCAUGCACGAAAGCGUGGGGAACAAACAGGAUUAGAUACCCUGGUAGUCCACGCCCUAAACGAUGUCAACUAGUUUGUCGGGUCUUCAUUGACUUGGUAACGAA